CUCCCGCAUGGCGAAAAACACCGCGUGACGGAGUGUGAUGUGCGUGGGGACGAAGAGACAAGGACGGGUCUCUGGAGGUCGCGCGCGGCGAGGCGGUGUCGCGAGUGCGGUGACCGUGCGUUCAAAGUGCGUUGAGCGCGAGGGAGAGCGCGCGCGGGGCGGCUGCAACUCAUACUUACCUGGCAGGGGAGAUACCAUGAUCACGAAACAGAGUGCCCUGCACGUUCUUUCUUUCAGACCAAGAAAAACCAGGGGAGAGCGCGAACGCAGUCCCCCACUACCACAAAUUAUGCAGUCGAGUUUCCCGCAUUUGGGGAAAUCGCAGGGGAGAUACCAUGAUCACGAAGGUGGUUUUCCCAGGGCGAGGCUUAUCCAUUGCACUCCGGAUGUGCUGACCCCUGCGAUUUCCCCAAAUGCGGGAAACUCGACUGCAUAAUUUGUGGUAGUGGGGGACUGCGUUCGCGCUCUCCCCUGGUUUUUCUUGGUCUGAAAGAAAAAACGUGCAGGGCACUGUGCUUUAUCGUACCAACAUUUCGGUUGGUAUAUUAGGAAAAGCCAUCUCACGACAGUAGAUGUCAGAGGAGCCGUUUGCCACUGACAAGACCGACAGACAAUCCCUAGUGGUGUGCGGUGGGUGGCUCUCAGGAUGUCUGCAGAGGCCGGCAAAUCUUUCUGGACCAACCUGGUCCUGAGUGUGUAGCCAGUGCUAUACAGAGAAGAGAGAGGAAGAAAAAGGAAGAGGAGAGAAGAUAAAUGAAAAGGAAAAAAAGCCUUGCAAAAGCCAGAUCUUACUUUCUCCACCCCCACCCCCCCCUUUCAGGCGUGAACUCGGCGAUGCUGCACCGCGUGAGUGCUGCUGGGAUUAAACUGGAUCAAAAAUUAACUCCUUAAAUCAGGAAUACCACGACUGGAGCCUGGUUGCUCUCAUAGAAGAGGUGACUAUCCAUUUUUUGCUAGUUGCCGGUUGUAAAGAUUCCCAGCCCGGGGGAACGGGACAAGACUCUGUAACCUGUCAGUCAACUGUGUAGUAAUUAGCUGCAAUUUGUGGCCCAAGAUGUUUUGUUUUUCUUUCAAGACUAACUUGUCUAAACUUAGGACUUAAACAGGCAGGAAAGGGUCGUUAAUAACACCCUGAUUUAAGUCUCGCUCACCCAAAACCCCAUGAUUUCCUUCUCGGGGUCCACCCCACCCCGUAGCAGUCUUUUCAACCACCUCAUCACAAGUUACCUUACCAUCAAACUGAGUUGAGUGUUACCGCCGUAGCAAGUGCUAGGCAUAAGAGACACCUUGCAUCUGGCUGCAGACCAAAAGAAACUACAACUGAGUCUUAUUUUCAACCGAGAAGACCAGGGGAGAGCGCGAACGCAGUCCCCCACUACCACAAAUUAUGCAGUCGAGUUUCCCGCAUUUGGGGAAAUCGCAGGGGUCAGCACAUCCGGAGUGCAAUGGAUAAGCCUCGCCCUGGGAAAACCACCUUCGUGAUCAUGGUAUCUCCCCUGCCAGGUAAGUAUGAGUUGCAGCCGCCCCGCGCGCGCUCUCCCUCGCGCUCAACGCACUUUGAACGCACGGUCACCGUACUCGCGACACCGCCUCGCCGCGCGCGACCUCCAGACCCCGCUCCUCGCCCCUCACCACCGACAUCUCGCUCCGUUUCUCGGUGUAGCACCACGCGCGACCGGGCCUUCCGAGCCCUGCGGGACCGGCAGCCAUUGCGCGCCGCCUCAUCUGCAUAUGCCCGCCCCGCCCCGCCCCGCCCCGCGUGCCUCGGUCGCGCGACCCGCCCGGAGCGUUCUAUGUAGCCUAGGAUGACCCUAAACGUCUGAUCCUAGCUGUGUGCCAUCGUCUACUGCUGGGGAUCACGCACUCGGAGCUCUGUGCGUGCCAGGCUUUCUCCAAGGACCCAGGACCAGCCGCCCAGGGGUGGCACCGCCCAUAGUGGGCUGGGCCUUCCCUCACUCACCGCUGAUCAGGAAAACGCCCUUCAGGUUUUCCAGCCUCCAGCCUGAUCUUUUGGAGGCAGGUUCUCCACUGAGGUUCCCUCCUCUCUGAUGACCCUAACUCUCGUCACGGCUGCGAGGGGCUGCAUAGUGAGUUCCGCGACAGCCAGAGCUACAGAGCGAGACCCUCUCUCAAACAAACAGAAAUGAAACACUAAUGCUGGAGGGCUGGGUGUGUGGUGAGCUCUGUGAGUUCUAGGCCAGCCAGAGCUACAGUGAGACCCUGUCUCAGAACAACAACAAACAAAACUACGGCUUGGGCAGGGACUUUAUUAUAUAGGUUGGUGAGAGAGGGCAUGCCUAGCAUGCGAGAUCGAGCCUCACUCAGCACCAACGACUUAAACAAAUAAAAAUGCUAAAUCAAAAAACCUGACUCCGGCC
rnacentral:lncRNA from 1 species